rnacentral:rRNA from 1 species
UGGAAGCGUCUGGAAAGGCGCGCGAUACAGGGUGACAGCCCCGUACACAAAAAUGCACAUGCUGUGAGCUCGAUGAGUAGGGCGGGACACGUGGUAUCCUGUCUGAAUAUGGGGGGACCAUCCUCCAAGGCUAAAUACUCCUGACUGACCGAUAGUGAACCAGUACCGUGAGGGAAAGGCGAAAAGAACCCCGGCGAGGGGAGUGAAAAAGAACCUGAAACCGUGUACGUACAAGCAGUGGGAGCACGCUUAGGCGUGUGACUGCGUACCUUUUGUAUAAUGGGUCAGCGACUUAUAUUCUGUAGCAAGGUUAACCGAAUAGGGGAGCCGAAGGGAAACCGAGUCUUAACUGGGCGUUAAGUUGCAGGGUAUAGACCCGAAACCCGGUGAUCUAGCCAUGGGCAGGUUGAAGGUUGGGUAACACUAACUGGAGGACCGAACCGACUAAUGUUGAAAAAUUAGCGGAUGACUUGUGGCUGGGGGUGAAAGGCCAAUCAAACCGGGAGAUAGCUGGUUCUCCCCGAAAGCUAUUUAGGUAGCGCCUCGUGAAUUCAUCUCCGGGGGUAGAGCACUGUUUCGGCAAGGGGGUCAUCCCGACUUACCAACCCGAUGCAAACUGCGAAUACCGGAGAAUGUUAUCACGGGAGACACACGGCGGGUGCUAACGUCCGUCGUGAAGAGGGAAACAACCCAGACCGCCAGCUAAGGUCCCAAAGUCAUGGUUAAGUGGGAAACGAUGUGGGAAGGCCCAGACAGCCAGGAUGUUGGCUUAGAAGCAGCCAUCAUUUAAAGAAAGCGUAAUAGCUCACUGGUCGAGUCGGCCUGCGCGGAAGAUGUAACGGGGCUAAACCAUGCACCGAAGCUGCGGCAGCGACACUGUGUGUUGUUGGGUAGGGGAGCGUUCUGUAAGCCUGCGAAGGUGUGCUGUGAGGCAUGCUGGAGGUAUCAGAAGUGCGAAUGCUGACAUAAGUAACGAUAAAGCGGGUGAAAAGCCCGCUCGCCGGAAGACCAAGGGUUCCUGUCCAACGUUAAUCGGGGCAGGGUGAGUCGACCCCUAAGGCGAGGCCGAAAGGCGUAGUCGAUGGGAAACAGGUUAAUAUUCCUGUACUUGGUGUUACUGCGAAGGGGGGACGGAGAAGGCUAUGUUGGCCGGGCGACGGUUGUCCCGGUUUAAGCGUGUAGGCUGGUUUUCCAGGCAAAUCCGGAAAAUCAAGGCUGAGGCGUGAUGACGAGGCACUACGGUGCUGAAGCAACAAAUGCCCUGCUUCCAGGAAAAGCCUCUAAGCAUCAGGUAACAUCAAAUCGUACCCCAAACCGACACAGGUGGUCAGGUAGAGAAUACCAAGGCGCUUGAGAGAACUCGGGUGAAGGAACUAGGCAAAAUGGUGCCGUAACUUCGGGAGAAGGCACGCUGAUAUGUAGGUGAAGUCCCUCGCGGAUGGAGCUGAAAUCAGUCGAAGAUACCAGCUGGCUGCAACUGUUUAUUAAAAACACAGCACUGUGCAAACACGAAAGUGGACGUAUACGGUGUGACGCCUGCCCGGUGCCGGAAGGUUAAUUGAUGGGGUCAGCGCAAGCGAAGCUCUUGAUCGAAGCCCCGGUAAACGGCGGCCGUAACUAUAACGGUCCUAAGGUAGCGAAAUUCCUUGUCGGGUAAGUUCCGACCUGCACGAAUGGCGUAAUGAUGGCCAGGCUGUCUCCACCCGAGACUCAGUGAAAUUGAACUCGCUGUGAAGAUGCAGUGUACCCGCGGCAAGACGGAAAGACCCCGUGAACCUUUACUAUAGCUUGACACUGAACAUUGAGCCUUGAUGUGUAGGAUAGGUGGGAGGCUUUGAAGUGUGGACGCCAGUCUGCAUGGAGCCGACCUUGAAAUACCACCCUUUAAUGUUUGAUGUUCUAACGUUGACCCGUGAUCCGGGUUGCGGACAGUGUCUGGUGGGUAGUUUGACUGGGGCGGUCUCCUCCUAAAGAGUAACGGAGGAGCACGAAGGUUGGCUAAUCCUGGUCGGACAUCAGGAGGUUAGUGCAAUGGCAUAAGCCAGCUUGACUGCGAGCGUGACGGCGCGAGCAGGUGCGAAAGCAGGUCAUAGUGAUCCGGUGGUUCUGAAUGGAAGGGCCAUCGCUCAACGGAUAAAAGGUACUCCGGGGAUAACAGGCUGAUACCGCCCAAGAGUUCAUAUCGACGGCGGUGUUUGGCACCUCGAUGUCGGCUCAUCACAUCCUGGGGCUGAAGUAGGUCCCAAGGGUAUGGCUGUUCGCCAUUUAAAGUGGUACGCGAGCUGGGUUUAGAACGUCGUGAGACAGUUCGGUCCCUAUCUGCCGUGGGCGCUGGAGAACUGAGGGGGGCUGCUCCUAGUACGAGAGGACCGGAGUGGACGCAUCACUGGUGUUCGGGUUGUCAUGCCAAUGGCACUGCCCGGUAGCUAAAUGCGGAAGAGAUAAGUGCUGAAAGCAUCUAAGCACGAAACUUGCCCCGAGAUGAGUUCUCCCUGACUCCUUGAGAGUCCUGAAGGAACGUUGAAGACGACGACGUUGAUAGGCCGGGUGUGUAAGCGCAGCGAUGCGUUGAGCUAACCGGUACUAAUGAACCGUGAGG